rnacentral:rRNA from 1 species
ACGGCUCAGUUAACACGUGGACAACCUACCCUGAGGACGGGGAUAAACCCGGGAAACUGGGUAUAAUACCCGAUAGAUCUGGGCUGCUGGAAUGCCUCCAGGUCGAAAACUCCGGUGCCUCAGGAUGGGUCUGCGGCCUAUCAGGGUAGUAGUAGGUGUAAAGUACCUACUAGCCUACGACGGGUACGGGUUGUGAGAGCAAGAGCCCGGAGAUGGAUUCUGAGACACGAAUCCAGGCCCUACGGGGUGCAGCAGGCGCGAAACCUUUACAAUGCUGGCAACAGCGAUAAGGGGACCUCGAGUGCCGCGAUACAAUCGCGGCUGUCUAGUUGCCUAAAAAGCAAUUAAUAGCAAGGGCCGGGCAAGACCGGUGCCAGCCGCCGCGGUAACACCGGCGGCUCGAGUGGUAACCGCUAUUAUUGGGUCUAAAGGGUCUGUAGCCGGCUUAGUUAGUCUCUUGAGAAAUCUGGCCGCCCAACGGUCAGGCGUUCAGGGGAUACUGCUAAAGCUCGAGACCGGGAGAGGUGAGAGGUACUUCAGGGGUAGGGGUGAAAUCUUGUAAUCCUUGAAGGACCACCAGUGGCGAAGGCGUCUCACCAGAACGGCUCUGACGGCAAGGGACGAAAGCUAGGGGCACGAACCGGAUUAGAUACCCGGGUAGUCCUAGCCGUAAACGAUACUCGCUAGGUGUCGGCCACGGUGCGACCGUGGUCGGUGCCGUAGGGAAGCCGUGAAGCGAGCCACCUGGGAAGUACGGCCGCAAGGCUGAAACUUAAAGGAAUUGGCGGGGGAGCAC